GUGGCUGGAGAGGUGGUCGGGGAAGUAGGAACCUCCUGCCAGGCUCAUGGCGGCUUCUUUUCGCUCCGCGGCGGGAAGCGCCUUCCCCACAGAACAUCAAUGCAAGCUUGAAUAAGAAAAACAAAUUCUUCCUCCUAAGCCAUGGCAUAUCAGUUAUACAGAAAUACCACUUUGAGAAACAGUCUUCAGGAAAGCCUAGAUGAGCUCAUACAGUCUCAACAGAUCACUCCCCAACUUGCCCUUCAAGUUCUACUUCAGUUUGAUAAGGCUAUAAAUUCUGCAUUGGCUCAGAGGGUCAGGAACAGAGUCAAUUUCAGGGGCUCUCUAAAUACAUACAGAUUCUGCCAUAAUGUGUGGACUUUUGUAUUGAAUGAUGUUGAAUUCAGAGAUGACAGAACUUACUAAAGUGGAUAAAGUGAAAAUUGUAGCCUGUGAUGGUAAAAAUACUGGCUCCAAUACUACAGAAUGAAUAGAAAAAAUAUGGCUUUUUUAUGCCAUCUUCUGUUAUUCAUUGCUUUUGAAGAGAAGCAUAGAAGAGACUUUUUAUUUAUUCUAGAACUGCAGAAAUGACUACACUGUGCUAUACCAGAGAAUUCCAGUAGAAAGAAACUUGUAACUCUGUAGCCUCUUACAUUACCUUUAUUAUACAGCAUGAAAAAAAUAACUUUUUUUAAUGACAAAAGUUGUUGCCUUCCUAAGAACCUUCUUUAAUAAAUUCAUUUUAAAACUCUGAAAAAAAA